UUUCCGUAGGUGAACCUGCGGAAGGAUCAUUACCUAACAAAUUGUGAGGGGCAUGCGAGGGCUGUCGCUGACCCAAAAGUCUUCCACGCCCGAGUGUGUCCUCUUGCAUAAUAAUCCAUCUCACCCUUUGUGCAUCACCGCGUGGGCACCCUUCGGGAUCAUCUCGGAGGGGGGCUCGCGUUUUCACACAAACCCCCCUUUUAAAAGUGUAGAAUGACCACAUUUAUGAAAUCAAUACAACUUUCAACAACGGAUCUCUUGGCUCUC
rnacentral:misc_RNA from 1 species